GAUGAACGCUGGCGGCGUGCUUAACACAUGCAAGUCGAACGAUGAAGCCCAGCUUGCUGGGUGGAUUAGUGGCGAACGGGUGAGUAACACGUGAGUAACCUGCCCUUAACUCUGGGAUAAGCCUGGGAAACUGGGUCUAAUACCGGAUAGGAGCGCCUACCGCAUGGUGGGUGUUAGAAAGAUUUAUCGGUUUUGGAUGGACUCGCGGCCUAUCAGCUUGUUGGUGAGGUAAUGGCUCACCAAGGCGACGACGGGUAGCCGGCCUGAGAGGGUGACCGGCCACACUGGGACUGAGACACGGCCCAGACUCCUACGGGAGGCAGCAGUGGGGAAUAUUGCACAAUGGGCGAAAGCCUGAUGCAGCGACGCCGCGUGAGGGAUGACGGCCUUCGGGUUGUAAACCUCUUUCAGUAGGGAAGAAGCGAAAGUGACGGUACCUGCAGAAGAAGCACCGGCUAACUACGUG
rnacentral:rRNA from 1 species